rnacentral:rRNA from 1 species
UAGGGAAUCUUCGGCAAUGGACGAAAGUCUGACCGAGCAACGCCGCGUGCGUGAAGAAGGUUUUCGGAUCGUAAAACUCUGUUGUUAGAGAAGAACAAGGACGUUAGUAACUGAACGUCCCCUGACGGUAUCUAAUCAGACAGCCACGGCUACAUACGUGCCAGCAGCCGCGGUAAUACGUAGGUGGCAAGCGUUGUCCGGAUUUAUUGGGCGUAAAGCGAGCGCAGGCGGUUUCUUAAGUCUGAUGUGAAAGCCCCCGGCUCAACCGGGGAGGGUCAUUGGAAACUGGGAGACUUGAGUGCAGAAGAGGAGAGUGGAAUUCCAUGUGUAGCGGUGAAAUGCGGAGAAAUAUGGAGGAACACCAAUGGCGAAGGCGGCUCUCUGGUCUGUAACUGACGCUGAGGCUCGAAAGCGUGGGGAGCAAACAGG